rnacentral:rRNA from 1 species
UACGUAGGGGGGCAAGCGUUGUCCGGAAUCAUUGGGCGUAAAGAGCGCGUAGGCGGCCCUGUAAGUCCGCUGUGAAAGUCAAGGGCUCAACCCUUGGAUGCCGGUGGAUACUGCAGGGCUAGAGUUCGGAAGAGGCGAGUGGAAUUCCUGGUGUAGCGGUGAAAUGCGCAGAUAUCAGGAGGAACACCGGUGGCGAAGGCGGUUCUCUGGGCAUUACCUGACGCUGAGGAGCGAAAGUGUGGGGAGCAAACAGG